rnacentral:rRNA from 1 species
UUAAGCGACUAAGCGUACACGGUGGAUGCCCUGGCAGUCAGAGGCGAUGAAGGACGUGCUAAUCUGCGAAAAGCGUCGGUAAGGUGAUAUGAACCGUUACAGCCGGCGAUGUCCGAAUGGGGAAACCCAGUGCAAUUCGUUGCACUAUCGUUUGAUGAAUACAUAGUCAAACGAGGCGAACCGGGGGAACUGAAACAUCUAAGUACCCCGAGGAAAAGAAAUCAACCGAGAUUCCCCCAGUAGCGGCGAGCGAACGGGGAGCAGCCCGGAGUCUGAAUCAGCUUGUGUGUUAGUGGAAGCGUCUGGAAAGUCGCAGGGUACAGGGUGAUACUCCCGUACACUAAAACACACAGGCUGUGAACUCGAAGAGUAGGGCGGGACACGUGGUAUCCUGUCUGAAUAUGGGGGGACCAUCCUCCAAGGCUAAAUACUCCUGACUGACCGAUAGUGAACCAGUACCGUGAGGGAAAGGCGAAAAGAACCCCGGCGAGGGGAGUGAAAAAGAACCUGAAACCGUGUACGUACAAGCAGUAGGAGCCCACUAGUUGGGUGACUGCGUACCUUUUGUAUAAUGGGUCAGCGACUUAUAUUCUGUAGCAAGGUUAACCGUAUAGGGGAGCCGCAGGGAAACCGAGUCUUAACUGGGCGUUAAGUUGCAGGGUAUAGACCCGAAACCCGGUGAUCUAGCCAUGGGCAGGUUGAAGGUUGGGUAACACUAACUGGAGGACCGAACCGACUAAUGUUGAAAAAUUAGCGGAUGACUUGUGGCUGGGGGUGAAAGGCCAAUCAAACCGGGAGAUAGCUGGUUCUCCCCGAAAGCUAUUUAGGUAGCGCCUCGUGAACUCAUCUUCGGGGGUAGAGCACUGUUUCGGCUAGGGGGUCAUCCCGACUUACCAACCCGAUGCAAACUACGAAUACCGAAGAAUGUUAUCACGGGAGACACACGGCGGGUGCUAACGUCCGUCGUGAAGAGGGAAACAACCCAGACCGCCAGCUAAGGUCCCAAAGUCAUGGUUAAGUGGGAAACGAUGUGGGAAGGCCCAGACAGCCAGGAUGUUGGCUUAGAAGCAGCCAUCAUUUAAAGAAAGCGUAAUAGCUCACUGGUCGAGUCGGCCUGCGCGGAAGAUGUAACGGGGCUAAACCAUGCACCGAAGCUGCGGCAGCGACACUAUGUGUUGUUGGGUAGGGGAGCGUUCUGUAAGCCGUUGAAGGUGGCCUGUGAGGGUUGCUGGAGGUAUCAGAAGUGCGAAUGCUGACAUAAGUAACGAUAAUGCGGGUGAAAAACCCGCACGCCGGAAGACCAAGGGUUCCUGUCCAACGUUAAUCGGGGCAGGGUGAGUCGACCCCUAAGGCGAGGCCGAAAGGCGUAGUCGAUGGGAAACAGGUUAAUAUUCCUGUACUUGGUGUUACUGCGAAGGGGGGACGGAGAAGGCUAUGUUGGCCGGGCGACGGUUGUCCCGGUUUAAGCAUGUAGGCGGAUGUUCCAGGUAAAUCCGGAACGUCAUUAACGCUGAGGUGUGAUGACGAGGCACUACGGUGCUGAAGUGACAAAUGCCCUGCUUCCAGGAAAAGCCUCUAAGCAUCAGGUAACAUCAAAUCGUACCCCAAACCGACACAGGUGGUCAGGUAGAGAAUACCAAGGCGCUUGAGAGAACUCGGGUGAAGGAACUAGGCAAAAUGGUGCCGUAACUUCGGGAGAAGGCACGCUGAUGGUAGGUGAAGCGACUUGCUCGUGGAGCUGAAAUCAGUCGAAGAUACCAGCUGGCUGCAACUGUUUAUUAAAAACACAGCACUGUGCAAACACGAAAGUGGACGUAUACGGUGUGACGCCUGCCCGGUGCCGGAAGGUUAAUUGAUGGGGUUAUCCUCGCGGAGAAGCUCUUGAUCGAAGCCCCGGUAAACGGCGGCCGUAACUAUAACGGUCCUAAGGUAGCGAAAUUCCUUGUCGGGUAAGUUCCGACCUGCACGAAUGGCGUAAUGAUGGCCAGGCUGUCUCCACCCGAGACUCAGUGAAAUUGAACUCGCUGUGAAGAUGCAGUGUACCCGCGGCAAGACGGAAAGACCCCGUGAACCUUUACUAUAGCUUGACACUGAACACUGGUCCUUGAUGUGUAGGAUAGGUGGGAGGCUUUGAAGUGUGGACGCCAGUCUGCAUGGAGCCAUCCUUGAAAUACCACCCUUUAAUGGCUGGUGUUCUAACGUGGGCCCCUAAUCGGGGUUGCGGACAGUGUCUGGUGGGUAGUUUGACUGGGGCGGUCUCCUCCUAAAGAGUAACGGAGGAGCACGAAGGUCAGCUAAUCCUGGUCGGACAUCAGGAGGUUAGUGCAAUGGCAUAAGCUGGCUUGACUGCGAGCGUGACGGCGCGAGCAGGUGCGAAAGCAGGUCAUAGUGAUCCGGUGGUUCUGAAUGGAAGGGCCAUCGCUCAACGGAUAAAAGGUACUCCGGGGAUAACAGGCUGAUACCGCCCAAGAGUUCAUAUCGACGGCGGUGUUUGGCACCUCGAUGUCGGCUCAUCACAUCCUGGGGCUGAAGUAGGUCCCAAGGGUAUGGCUGUUCGCCAUUUAAAGUGGUACGCGAGCUGGGUUUAGAACGUCGUGAGACAGUUCGGUCCCUAUCUGCCGUGGGCGCUGGAGAAUUGAGGGGGGCUGCUCCUAGUACGAGAGGACCGGAGUGGACGCAUCACUGGUGUUCGGGUUGUCAUGCCAAUGGCAUUGCCCGGUAGCUAAAUGCGGAAGAGAUAAGUGCUGAAAGCAUCUAAGCACGAAACUUGCCCCGAGAUGAGUUCUCCCUGACUCCUUGAGAGUCCUGAAGGAACGUUGAAGACGACGACGUUGAUAGGCCGGGUGUGUAAGCGCAGCGAUGCGUUGAGCUAACCGGUACUAAUGAACCGUGAGGCUUAACCUU